GGGAUUUCGGCGCGGCUGGGGAAAAUCCACGGGGCGCUGUCGGAGCUGAUACGCGAGCUGAAGCCCGAAGUGAUCGUGAUCGAGCGUUUGUACGCGCAUUACAAGCAUCCAAGCACAGCCAUUCUGAUGGGACAUGCGCGCGGCGUGGUUUGUCUGUUGGCCGGCGAAAACAAGAUUCCGCUCGAGAGCAUCGCAUCCAC
rnacentral:misc_RNA from 1 species